GACGAACGCUGGCGGCGUGCCUAAUACAUGCAAGUUGAGCGCUGAAGGUUGGUACUUGUACCAACUGGAUGAGCAGCGAACGGGUGAGUAACGCGUGGGGAAUCUGCCUUUGAGCGGGGGACAACAUUUGGAAACGAAUGCUAAUACCGCAUAAAAACUUUAAACACAAGUUUUAAGUUUGAAAGAUGCAAUUGCAUCACUCAAAGAUGAUCCCGCGUUGUAUUAGCUAGUUGGUGAGGUAAAGGCUCACCAAGGCGAUGAUACAUAGCCGACCUGAGAGGGUGAUCGGCCACAUUGGGACUGAGACACGGCCCAAACUCCUACGGGAGGCAGCAGUAGGGAAUCUUCGGCAAUGGACGAAAGUCUGACCGAGCAACGCCACGUGAGUGAAGAAGGUUUUCGGAUCGUAAAACUCUGUUGGUAGAGAAGAACGUUGGUGAGAGUGGAAAGCUCAUCAAGUGACGGUAACUACCCAGAAAGGGACGGCUAACUACGUG
rnacentral:rRNA from 1 species